AACGAACGCUGGCGGCAGGCCUAACACAUGCAAGUCGAGCGCACCUUCGGGUGAGCGGCGGACGGGUUAGUAACGCGUGGGAACGUACCCUUUCUACGGAAUAGCCUUUGGAAACGAAGAGUAAUACCGUAUACGCCCUUUUGGGGGAAAGAUUUAUCGGAGAAGGAUCGGCCCGCGUUAGAUUAGAUAGUUGGUGGGGUAACGGCCUACCAAGUCUACGAUCUAUAGCUGGUUUUAGAGGAUGAUCAGCAACACUGGGACUGAGACACGGCCCAGACUCCUACGGGAGGCAGCAGUGGGGAAUCUUAGACAAUGGGGGCAACCCUGAUCUAGCCGUGCCGCGUGAGUGAUGAAGGCCUUAGGGUCGUAAAGCUCUUUCGACAGGGAAGAUAAUGACGGUACCUGUAUAAGAAGCUCCGGCUAACUCCGUG
rnacentral:rRNA from 1 species